rnacentral:rRNA from 1 species
CCUUAGUAGCGGCGAGCGAACAGGGAGAAGCCCAGCACUGAAGCCCGUGGUCGGAAACGGCUACUGGGCAAUGUAGUGUUUGGGAGAGCCCGUCUAACCCGAGUAUUGUUAGCGUGUCCAAGUCCUUCUUGAAGGGGGCCACUCGCCCGUAGUGGGUGCCAGGCCCGUAGUGACCGUUGAUAUGUUCGGGUGGGUUUCUCCUUAGAGUCGGGUUGCUUGAGAGUGCAGCUCUAAGUGGGUGGUAAACUCCAUCUAAGGCUAAAUAUUACCACGAGACCGAUAGCGAACAAGUACCGUGAGGGAAAGUUGAAAAGAACUUUGAAGAGAGAGUUCAAGAGUACGUGAAACCGUUCAGGGGUAAACCUGAGAAACCCGAAAAUUCGAACGGGGAGAUUCAAUUGCUUUACCGGUGGUGUUCAAUAGUGCAGUAUUUGGGACGCAUAUGGUUUGCAGUUUCGGCUGUAUAUCUGUAUACGCUCUGCUGUCUGUUGUGUAUUCAUUGUCGGAGGCAUGCACUUCUCCCCUUGUAGGACGUCGUGACCCGUUGAGCAUUACGCCAUCUACGGCCCGUGGUGGAGCCCGAAUAUAAUUUAUUAUAGUCGGACCCAUGGUGACCUGAUGGCUGCCCGACGGUAUUAGCACAGGUAAUGGGUCGCUGUCGCUUCGCGCGGCGAGCGUUAUGGUUUUAUGGCAAGUCACUGUAUGUUUGUGGAAAUCGGACCUAGUGCCGGUUCUGCGCAUAUGGUACUGUUCGCUGUACGAUCCUCUGACCGUCCCCGUUACCAGUCGGCGACGCUUCAGUUUUGGGUAAUCUCAGGACCCGUCUUGAAACACGGACCAAGGAGUCUAGCAUGUGCGCGAGUCAUUGGGAUAAAAUUCCUAAAGGCGUAAUGAAAGUAAAUGUUUACCUUGUGUGAACAGAGGGAAGAUGGGUGGCGCAUUGACGCUGCCUCGCACUCCCGGGGCGUCGCGCACUCAUUGCGAGGUGCGGCGCACCAAGAGCGUACACGCUGG